AGACCUCCUCAAGCGCUUUGGUGACACUGGGCUUGGUAUUGGGGUUGGACUGACUUCUGUCUCUCCUCCCCGAAAUCCAUUGGCGGAGACCACACUGCACUGGACGUAGUAAGUCAUUCUCGUUGAGUAGUUAGUGUGAGCUUUCUUGCCGUUAACCCCCAACUUUUAACU
rnacentral:misc_RNA from 1 species